UACGAAGGGGGCUAGCGUUGCUCGGAAUCACUGGGCGUAAAGCGCACGUAGGCGGAUUGCUAAGUCAGGGGUGAAAUCCUGGAGCUUAACUCCAGAACUGCCUUUGAUACUGGCGAUCUUGAGUCCGGGAGAGGUGAGUGGAACUGCGAGUGUAGAGGUGAAAUUCGUAGAUAUUCGCAAGAACACCAGUGGCGAAGGCGGCUCACUGGAUCGGUACUGACGCUGAGGUGCGAAAGCGUGGGGAGCAAACAGG
rnacentral:rRNA from 1 species